UACGGAGGAGGCAAGCGUUAUCCGGAAUAAUUGGGCGUAAAGCGUCCGUAGGUGGCUGUUCAAGUCUGCCGUUAAAGACCGGGGCUUAACCCUGGAAAGGCGGUGGAAACUGAACGGCUAGAGUGCAGUAGGGGUAGAGGGAAUUCCCAGUGUAGCGGUGAAAUGCGUAGAGAUUGGGAAGAACACCGGUGGCGAAAGCGCUCUGCUGGACUGCAACUGACACUGAGGGACGAAAGCUAGGGGAGCGAAUGGG
rnacentral:rRNA from 1 species